AAGUCGAACGAACUCUGGUAUUGAUUGGUGCUUGCAUCAUGAUUUACAUUUGAGUGAGUGGCGAACUGGUGAGUAACACGUGGGAAACCUGCCCAGAAGCGGGGGAUAACACCUGGAAACAGAUGCUAAUACCGCAUAACAACUUGGACCGCAUGGUCCGAGCUUGAAAGAUGGCUUCGGCUAUCACUUUUGGAUGGUCCCGCGGCGUAUUAGCUAGAUGGUGGGGUAACGGCUCACCAUGGCAAUGAUACGUAGCCGACCUGAGAGGGUAAUCGGCCACAUUGGGACUGAGACACGGCCCAAACUCCUACGGGAGGCAGCAGUAGGGAAUCUUCCACAAUGGACGAAAGUCUGAUGGAGCAACGCCGCGUGAGUGAAGAAGGGUUUCGGCUCGUAAAACUCUGUUGUUAAAGAAGAACAUAUCUGAGAGUAACUGUUCAGGUAUUGACGGUAUUUAACCAGAAAGCCACGGCUAACUACGUGCCAGCAGCCGCGGUAAUACGUAGGUGGCAAGCGUUGUCCGGAUUUAUUGGGCGUAAAGCGAGCGCAGGCGGUUUUUUAAGUCUGAUGUGAAAGCCUUCGGCUCAACCGAAGAAGUGCAUCGGAAACUGGGAAACUUGAGUGCAGAAGAGGACAGUGGAACUCCAUGUGUAGCGGUGAAAUGCGUAGAUAUAUGGAAGAACACCAGUGGCGAAGGCGGCUGUCUGGUCUGUAACUGACGCUGAGGCUCGAAAGUAUGGGUAGCAAACAGGAUUAGAUACCCUGGUAGUCCAUACCGUAAACGAUGAAUGCUAAGUGUUGGAGGGUUUCCGCCCUUCAGUGCUGCAGCUAACGCAUUAAGCAUUCCGCCUGGGGAGUACGGCCGCAAGGCUGAAACUCAAAGGAAUUGACGGGGGCCCGCACAAGCGGUGGAGCAUGUGGUUUAAUUCGAAGCUACGCGAAGAACCUUACCAGGUCUUGACAUACUAUGCAAAUCUAAGAGAUUAGACGUUCCCUUCGGGGACAUGGAUACAGGUGGUGCAUGGUUGUCGUCAGCUCGUGUCGUGAGAUGUUGGGUUAAGUCCCGCAACGAGCGCAACCCUUAUUAUCAGUUGCCAGCAUUAAGUUGGGCACUCUGGUGAGACUGCCGGUGACAAACCGGAGGAAGGUGGGGAUGACGUCAAAUCAUCAUGCCCCUUAUGACCUGGGCUACACACGUGCUACAAUGGAUGGUACAACGAGUUGCGAACUCGCGAGAGUAAGCUAAUCUCUUAAAGCCAUUCUCAGUUCGGAUUGUAGGCUGCAACUCGCCUACAUGAAGUCGGAAUCGCUAGUAAUCGCGGAUCAGCAUGCCGCGGUGAAUACGUUCCCGGGCCUUGUACACACCGCCCGUCACACCAUGAGAGUUUGUAACACCCAAAGUCGGUGGGGUA
rnacentral:rRNA from 1 species